CUAGUCUAAAUAUUUAAGCGCACAAGUAGAGAAAAGAAAAAGAAAUCUCUCUCUUUUUGUUCUUUCGAAAAACCGUCAUGGAGGGAAGUAACGGAAAAGAAUGCCGAAGGAAGAAAGUUGGGAAUCGAAAGGAAUCCUCCGGCUGUGCAUCGACCCUUCCCCUGCCCGUCUGAUCACCUUCGAAAGCAGUUUUUCAGGAGCAUGUGUCCCUCUGCAAAUGCUCGUGUUAAUAUCUGGAGAAUUAUGAUCGCGAUCGAUUCCCCCAGGAUCAUAGUUCAACUCUUGCUCGAUCACCGUUUUUCGUAGAUCGUUCUGAUCGCUAUUCCGUUUGCUGAUAUCUCUUCGAUUUCUUUUCGGAAUUUCUACUCUGAACGCAUGAUUGUGGGUUGUAUUGAGGCUGCAUUACUUUUAGACGUAAUUUCCGUCGUGAAUCCUGUUUGUGCUUGCCUGAUUUGAUGUUUGCCUCUGUGAAUAAUCGUGUUAAUAUUUGGAGAACUACGAUCGCGAUCCAUUCCUGCCUGAUCAUAGUUCAACUCUUGGUCGAUCGCCGUUGUUCUUUGAUCGUUCUGAUCGCUAUCCCGAUUGCUGAUAUCUCUGCUGCUGGCCGAUUUCUGUUCGGAAUUUCUACUCUGAUUUCAUGCUCGUAAUAAUCUCUUAUGAUCAUAGUUCAACUCUGAUCGUUCUGAUCGCCUGAUUGUGGGUUGUAUUGUUUUGAAACAGGAUUCCCAAGUUGAAAUGAUCAUCUUCUGAAAGAAAUGCAGAAGAUGCAGCAAAGUGCAGGCCAAGUAGGAACAGGCUUCUCAUAACGGUUGUUGGUGGGCUGAUGUUUGUUGGGGCUUUUAUGUUUCUCCUUCAACUUGGUUAAGUAAAAGUCUCACGUUCUUGGGCAAUGCCAUAGAUAGACAAUAUCAUGAUUCCACAUGUUCUGCUCAUAUGAAAUGUAGAGUGACCAUUUCUUGGACAUUCUUUUAGUUGCUGUUGAUUGACGUCGUUUGUAAAAGGCCGAAAAACUUCCCUUUAUUGACCAAGCACUAAAGAGAAACCCUCUCUCUAUAUUUUACUCCCUAGACCCUAUGACACGGACUCAAACGGUAAAAUAUCCUAACCAAGAUUAAUGGCUUCCUCUAGGCAUGCGGAUUUUUUUAACUUUAAAUGUUCAUUCACAAAUGGUAAAAUAUCCUAACCAAGACUAACGGUUCGUCUAGACAAGACCCUAUAUAAUUUAUCAUUCUGCCAUGUGUGAAUGACUUUUUUUCUUUUUAUUCUUAAUAAUAUAUAAAUCUUAAAAGAUUAUUGAAAAUCUUAUAAAAUAUUAUUUUAUGUGGAAGGAACAUCAAUUAUUUCAUCCUGCAAACCAAGGACACAAGUUCAUGUUUUUACCUGCAUCUCGCCAUAAAAAUGCAAAGCUAAAGACCUUCAUGCAAGGCAAAAUUAUUUUUGUCCUCAACUGACCUUUUAGAAAAGAAUAAGUAUGCUGGGAUAUUGGAAGCAUUUGGUGGGUCAUCAAAUGAAAAUUUCUCUUGAUAAAACUAUAAGAAGGUGGUUAGGCACUCCAACUGUCUCUCUGCCUCUCUCUCUUUGUCUCUGUCUCCGUCUCUGUCUCUCUUUCUCUCACACGAACACACACACUCUUUGCCUAUUUCUUUUGUUUGGAGAGCCAUCUGAUCAAUGACAAUGUUGGGACUCUCUGUGUGGAUUUGAAGACGAUGAGCAAUUUAUAUCAAUGGAAAUCCUCGUCAUAUUCUUGUUAUUAUUGUUAUAAGCAAAUACUAGCUUUUGUUUUCAAAAACCCUUGGUUCAAUUGUAUCAGCUAGUAGGUUCUGUACAAGCACAAAAUCCUCCAAUAUCUUUGUUGUUUUACCUCUGCAUCGUCAAGUGUUGUGUAUUUUGUUUUUCUGAAAGAUUUUUGAUGCACUAGAGUAUAAGAGCACUUGGUUUUAACUUAUUCAUGAUUAUUAUUUAUUUCAGAAAAGGAAAAAAUGUACAUAAUUUUAUAUUUGCUGGUAGUGCUUUCUACCUAGUAUUUCACAGGUUUCACACUUUCCAAUCAUUCAUCCCUACUUUACAAGUUCGCUGUUUCUGGCUUCCCUUGUUUUUAAAAGUGCCAAGGUUCAAUUUGUUGAGGAAUUCAAAAAAUCUAGUGUACUCAAAAAUGAAAAAGGAGCCCAUCAUCUUGACAGAUUUACCAUCUUGGGAGGGCAUUAAGAUCAAGGGUAUUCUAUGUUGAGGCUGUAUAAACAAUCUCACGGGAAAGCCUACUUGUUUGGCAAUGAGAUAUCAAUGCUCCUACUGAUAAGAGUAGUCAGUCAUUCAAUCAGGGACUCAGGAAACAGUAUCCAAGUGUUAGUUUUUGGACGUAACUGGGUGGCCAGGUGAUUUGUAAUGAUUCUUUUUGGUUGGAUGUGAGAUUUUUUGAGCCUGCUUACAUUGUGGGAUCACCUUCUAAUGUUAUUGUGGAUGUGGAUAGGUUUACUGGUUAGAUAGAAGGACUGGAGCUAUGAAGUGAGGGUUGAGGUAUCAUCCCCUUGGACUGGCGACCGUGGUUUGUUUCUUCAUGGAUGCUGGUGUUGCGUCUUAUAUGCUUCAUAGUUCAUACACAAUAAUGGAUGUUGGUAUUUGCUUUUGGUGGAAAAAAUAGUCCCCUUAGGGCAAUGUCCACAGAUAUUAUUCUCCCAUCUUCCGACAACUGUGAUGUGGUGGUUCUUUUGCUUCUAUUUCACUUUUCUCUUUUGCUCGCACGUUAGAGAUGAGAUUAUUUUGUCUUCUUAUAUACAAAGCCAUUGUUUUGAAAGUUCUAUCUUAGAAUUUCAAACAUUUAUGGGGAGAAAUACAUUUGAGGGAAUCUCAUGGAAACCCUAAGACUACAGGAUAAAGAGGCAAAACAAGCCUUAAGAUCCCCAAAAUUUACUAAUAAACAGUUAGAGGAGAACAGCAAUUGGCAAAGCAUUGCUCCUGGGACUCAUCAGUUGAUGGAUAUCCUAAACCUAUCUGUGCUGUGAUAGUAACGAGGCAGUAAAAGAGAACAGAGUGCUGAUGAUUUGAGACAAGUUGAACCACCAGUAGUUGUCUUGAAAUCAUACAUAUAGAUUGAAAAUCUUGUUAAGGAGGACCUACUAAUUGAGGUAGUAACAAAUAGAAUAUUUGGGCAUCCAAUAUUUCACUGUUUCUUGUCUUGGUGAGGAAGCUGUUCGAGACUCUGAGAACGUUGUUUUAUGAUUCUUUGUUUCUGUCAACCUGCAUCUUAUGAUUACCUGGUGUUGUAGGAUCUUUGCUUGGUCCUGCAUCUGUAUGAUGUUAUUGAACCCUGGCUGCAGUGAUGCAUUGUGGACAUGACAUCCUGGAAGGCCAAAAGUUGCUUAAAGGAAGCUUAUCCCAGUCAUGUCCAUUCCCUAGAAGAUGGACUGCAAGUAGAUACUUCCAAACCAUUAAUGCGUCAAUUACAAAUAAAAUAUUAUUUUAUGUCUAUUCUUCUUUCAUUAUGCAGUUUGGUCUCAAAAAGGUAGUUUAUAUUGCUCUUUUGUGUUUUUCAAGAACAUUUGAUGUCAAGAUGCAUCAAAUGCAGUAUGUGGUUCAUUCAAAGCGACUAACAACUGAAGAAGCUAUUGCAGCUGCAGGGGGUGUGCAAGUAACUUUUGGGUGCUUGUACAACAUAAAUUUUGAAGUUUGGCAGUGUGAAAGUUGUGGACGAUUCUAUCGGGAGGUGACUAAUGUUGCAGUGGUUUCUUUGUUUGGGCAUAAGCAUAAUCUGAAAGGCUAAUUUGUUACAUGUGUGAAUCUGCUGAGGUAAUUGCUGCAGCAAAAUCCUGCUUGCUUGAGUUGUUUCCAUAAAAAAUAGAAGUGUUCUGAGCACAUAUGAUGCAGCAGAAGAGUUGAAUGCAGAAGUUUUGUGUCCUUUCUGAGCACAUAUGAUGCUGCAGCUGCAGCUUCCAUAAAAAGGACAUCCAAUAGGGUGCUCAAGUAGCUCGAGUUUGAGGAACAAACUUUGUAGUGUGUUUGGAUGGAUUUGAUUCGAUCAUUGUUUUACACAGUGGGCACAACAAAAUCAGGUUUGAUGCUUUCGAUUGUCUGCAAGAUUUUUGUUGUGUGUCAGUCGAUUCUCCUUUUUCAUGUUAGAGGAUCUAUUUUGCUAUAUUUGGUACAAUUAUGUAGAUGGUAGCAUUUUGCAGAUCACCAUAAAGUGGUAUGGUAGUAGAUCUUCAUUGUUCCUAAUUUAUAAGUUUUGCUGCUUGAUUUCUUUAGAAUUGAAGUGGAAAAGACUCAUUAGGAGACACUAUUAAGAUUGCGGCUUGGCCCACUUAAUUACUACAUUGGUUGUUGUGAAAUUUACAUACUCUUAGACGUUGUCUGAAGACAAAAUUAAAAGUCUAUCACUAAGAGAGAACUGUCCUGUAAGCACUAGCUAUCAAUUGAGAUG